GAACUACUGAGGAGUCCCAUACUAGGACGAAACGGCCGUCCAGUGU
rnacentral:hammerhead_ribozyme from 1 species